rnacentral:rRNA from 1 species
UACGUAGGGUGCGAGCGUUAAUCGGAAUUACUGGGCGUAAAGCGUGCGCAGGCGGUUCGUUGUGUCGGCGGUGAAAGCCCCGGGCUCAACCUGGGAAUGGCCGUUGAAACUGGCGAACUGGAGUGUGGCAGAGGGGGGUGGAAUUCCGCGUGUAACAGUGAAAUGCGUAGAGAUGUGGAGGAACACCGAUGGCGUAGGCAGCCUCCUGGGCCAAUUCUGACGCUCAUGCACGAAAGCGUGGGGAGCAAACAGG